rnacentral:rRNA from 1 species
CGGACGGGUGAGUAAUGUCUGGGAAACUGCCUGAUGGAGGGGGAUAACUACUGGAAACGGUAGCUAAUACCGCAUAACGUCGCAAGACCAAAGAGGGGGACCUUCGGGCCUCUUGCCAUCGGAUGUGCCCAGAUGGGAUUAGCUAGUAGGUGGGGUAACGGCUCACCUAGGCGGCGAUCCCUAGCUGGUCUGAGAGGAUGACCAGCCACACUGGAACUGAGACACGGUCCAG